rnacentral:rRNA from 1 species
UACGUAGGGUGCGAGCGUUGUCCGGAAUUAUUGGGCGUAAAGAGCUCGUAGGCGGUGUGUCACGUCGGCCGUGAAAACCUGGGGGCUUAACUCUGGGCGUGCGGUCCGAUACGGGCAUCACUAGAGUUCGGCAGGGGAGACUGGAAUUCCUGGUGUAGCGGUGAAAUGCGCAGAUAUCAGGAGGAACACCGGUGGCGAAGGCGGGUCUCUGGGCCGAUACUGACGCUGGAGGAAGCGAAAGCAUGGGUAGCGAACAGG